CUUUUUUUGUCGUUCCCGCUCGUCGCUCCCUUUUUCUUCCCCGUUUCGCUCGCCCGUCGGUCUCUGGACCGGGCGCAGAGGGGCGCGGAGAGGGGCGCUGGGAGCAAGGAGGAGGGCGGCGGCGGCGGCGGCGGGUGCUACCUGCUUCACUCUCCUUUCUCGGAGCCCUCUGGCAGCGGAGAGGAGUGGCCGGAAGAGGGUCCAAGGGCUAGACCUCGGAGAGUGGAAGAGGAUCUAGACCUCGCCCUCCCUGCCUGCGGCCGCUCCGGUCGGAGGGGAAGUGUGUGCCUCCAACAACUCUAAUAACUAGCCAUACUAGUACGUACACAGGGUGGAUUGUACUGACUAUUAUUCGAACGCAUGUAGGUCUUACUCCGAUAUAGGUUUCUCACGUGUUCCUGAGAGUGCCAAUGUUUCCUAUGCUUCGUCGGUUAAAUACGGAUGAUGGUUGAACUGUUGAAAAUAGUCUUAGUAUCCUCAAGUACGGGGCCAGUUUAGAUCUCGAUACGUACGGAUACAGUAGAGAGUGUCUAGUGACAAGAAAAGUAAGGAGGUUAACUUUGGUACCGACGGUCAUAACUCCCAGUCCUAAGACAUGAUCUGCACUACUCUAUUUUACUCCAGACUUAAAAAAUCGGUACGAAAGAAUCGAGUACUUCCGUCCUCGUAUACACUAAAAAGACAUGGUGGAAGGGCGCCGAGACUCCUAAAACAGACGAGCGACGGAGAGGCGAUAAAUAAACAACACAGAUGACGUAACAAACAAGACGGUGGGAAAAGGAGUCAACGAUCGCCCCCCGGAACCGAAUAGCAUAACAAACAACGGAAGGAGAGUAUCCAAGCAACCAUAACAUUUGGUAAAAACAACAUCAUUAUUGAUGUUACAGUUUAUUUAAAUGUAAAGUGGAACGAAGGUGAUAAUAAGUUCAAAAAGGGACGAAUAACCAGCAUGAUCGUUCUACCAAAAACAAAAAAAUGGCACAGAUUGUAUCACAUAAAGAUGCUAAAAAGAGACAAUUUUGUAUAGGUGAAGGUACGAGAAAAGAGAUAAAAUCAUGUGUUAUCAUACCGACGUAUGAUGGUUAACGUCUUUAAUAAGUAAACGGUGAUUUUAUAUAUAAAAGGAUAAGUGUUUAAUUUAUUGUUGUUUCUACUUCAACCAGGGACCUACGGAUUAUACAAGAAAGUAUAGGACCAGUCAAAUGGUCCAUUGUCUUAAUUAUGAAGAACAACCAAGUUAUCAGUUAUGGUCACAACACUCUUUUAAGGAAUGCCAACAACAUAAAACCAUCGAAGAAGAAAACGUUCACCGUUUAAUGACAAUACAUAUACACCUUAGGAUAAUUUAGACACGUAACCAAAGUCAGUAUGAAAAGAUUUACCUCAUAUCAAGUUCUGACAAAACAAGUAAUUUAGUAAGGAAGAUGGAAGGUUCACACAACAACCGUGUGGAGUUUAAUGAAGAUGAAUAUGUACAUAAGUUACAAACCGCCGAGCUAGGCGAGGACCUAGCCCUCUCCUCCUUCCCUCCACCCCCGGCCGGCAGAGACACGGAGGAGCUGCGGCUCGACGCCGACGAGGCACACACGCGCGAGAGAGAGAGUCCAUGAGAGAGAGAGAGCUAGACUCUCCUUUGCUACGUCGGUGUCGGAGGACGUGGGGGAAGAGAGAGCGGCUACGACGAGGGGUUGGUGACACGACACUGCAACGAAGGGUUUAACCAGCAACAGAGCAGAGGAGACUGGAGUUAUGGCAGGACCCGCCGCGACCAUGGCUCCACGGUGGAGACGGAGGUGGGGGUGACCCGUUCCUCGAGCUCCACAAACCCCCUAAGAACAGGGACUACAAUUAAUCCCACUGAUAAAGACAAACCCAUUAAACCCCCUGCUUAAACUACGAACACAAUUUAAGAACAACAUAGUAAAAAACACGGGUAAUUUAUGUAAAUGGUAAAAUACUGAACUUAAACGCCGGUCUCUUAUGUCCAGUUAAUAAGAAGUGAUUAAGUAAAGGAACAUCAUGUCAACACAAUCAAUAAACGAACGUUCUAUCGUAGAAGGACUUACUAAAGAAAUAUAAAAAGUCUAUUCCUCUUGAAAUUGGAACGCGGGUGGAUACCGUUAUAACGGGAGAAAUAUAAGAGGGAGCGAGUAGUCGUCGUCGCUACCACCGCAGUAACAGCCGGAACGUCGUACACCGUAUUAGUACAGGUAACGGAUGAGACCCCGUCUAGAAACUUUCAAGGUUCAACCAAUUACAACUAAAAACGAGUACGUGUUGGGUAGUAUCCUUAAUCAUCCUAGGAGAAGCUACCUACAUUCCUGACGUUGUCCAAAGAAAGUCGUCGGACCCCAACAAUUCUUCUCCCAGCCCUAACGAGACCCGUCUACGAAUUUAAGGACCUACAUUUGCGUGUGAACAGAGGAUGUGUCCGGUUUUAUGAUAACCUCUAUUCCUAUGGGCGCGACGACGACAACGCAAACCAAUCCCUCCCCGAAGAAGCAGACGAAACGGCACGCCACCGACACGCCGACGAACAAGGAAGAACAGGCCACAUGUACUCUUCGAGGUUAAAACAGCCAUUAUCGGUGACCUCUUUCAUCACUAACCCAAAUAUACCCUAUCAAUACAUACAGGUAACACACUACCCUUUAUGUUACGUCACCAAUUAACAGUGUACCGAAGAGUUAUCACCGAAGAGUCAUUUUUUUUUCAAUAUACUACAUACUAUCGGUACUCAUACUACUAAAAAGCCUACCCGCCAUUCGAAGGGUACAAACUACAAAAAAAAAUGAAAAAUUUUAACUUGCUACGACCACUCUUAUCAUGACACCACAUGUGAAGAUAAACCAGUAUAUAAAACAGGAAAAAACCAAGAGUCACACCUAUAUACCAGGGG
rnacentral:rRNA from 1 species